GAACGCUAGCGGCAUGCCUAACACAUGCAAGUCGAACGGCAGCACGGGAGCAAUCCUGGUGGCGAGUGGCGAACGGGUGAGUAACACGUAGGAAUCUACCUUAAUUAUAAUAGUUAGUGGGGGAUAACCCGGGGAAACUCGGGCUAAUACCGCAUAAUCUCUUCAAAGCAAAGCGGGGGAUCUUCGGACCUCGUGCUAUGAGAUGAGCCUGCGUCGGAUUAGCUAGUUGGUAGGGUAAUGGCCUACCAAGGCGACGAUCCGUAGCUGGUCUGAGAGGACGAUCAGCCACACUGGGACUGAGACACGGCC
rnacentral:rRNA from 1 species